GCGCUGUCGCGUGUCGGGUUCGCCGUUGGGACUGCGGGUGCCGCCGGCUAUCGGCGGCCCGCGCUGGAGGAGCGCGGCCGGGUCCUAGUGCCCGGUGGCUUCAGGUUCGAGGCUCGUAGCGGGGCUCCGGGAGAGGCCAGCCGCCUCAGAACCCUCGCCCGCGGCGCGCCAGGCGCCGAUGGCUGGUCGCUCCCUGGGGCAGGCGGUAGCCACCGUGUCGCUCUCGGUGGCCCUCGCGUCUGUGACCGUCCGGUCCUUAGGCUGCCGCGCCGUCCCCGCACCCAGAAACCGAUUUCCAACCUGUGGGUUCCAUCUUAACGCCAACAUCAUGUCUGGUUCUAAUGGUGCCAAAGAGAAUUCCCACAACAAGGCCCGGACAUCUCCUUACCCAGGUUCCAAAGUCGAGCGUAGUCAGGUUCCAAAUGAGAAGGUGGGUUGGCUUGUUGAGUGGCAAGACUACAACCCAGUGGAGUACACCGCAGUCUCUGUCCUGGCUGGACCCCGGUGGGCGGACCCUCAGAUCAGUGAAAGCAACUUCUCUCCCAAAUUUAAUGAAAAGGACGGGCAUGUUGAAAGAAAGAGCCAGAACGGCCUGUACGAGAUUGAAAAUGGAAGACCUAGAAAUCCUGCAGGGAGGACAGGACUGGUUGGCCGUGGUCUUCUGGGGAGAUGGGGCCCAAAUCAUGCUGCUGAUCCUAUUAUAACCAGGUGGAAAAGGGACGAGAGCGGGAAUAAGAUCAAACAUCCUGUCUCUGGGAAGUGCAUCUUGCAGUUUGUUGCGAUCAAAAGGAAAGACUGUGGAGAGUGGGCAAUCCCAGGGGGGAUGGUAGACCCUGGAGAGAAGAUCAGUGCCACACUGAAGAGGGAGUUUGGUGAGGAAGCCCUGAACUCGUUACAGAAGUCCAGUGCGGAGAAAAGGGAGAUCGAGGAGAAGCUGCACGCGCUCUUCAGCCAGGAGCAUCUUGUGAUAUACAAGGGAUAUGUUGACGACCCUCGGAACACUGACAAUGCGUGGAUGGAGACAGAAGCUGUGAACUACCAUGAUGAAACAGCUGCUGCUGAAGACACAGCUAUCAGCCGUUCAAGGAAUAAUACCUAUGAGGUGCUUGUGAUGUGAGAUUCUGGAGUGAGUUGGUGGAUUCCGACGUCCACUGAUGCUCCCCCUGUAUCAUUACAUCAGAAAUUGUAAAUGAUCUCUACCUGUCUGCAGGAUGCUGAUCCAGUUCAUUAAACUGCCAGUGCACAGGAUACACAUACAUAUGGUAGUUUUUCUUAAAGUCCCUCAAGAGAAGUUCAAUGGGAUGGUCUCCAGCCAAGAGUCUCUUCUCAUCCAGAUGGCCACCAUGUUUGGGAUUCGGCUCAUAAAGCUGCAUGAGGAUAUUUUUGAGCCAGUCUCUCAUCCGCAGGGGAAACUGAGCCACUUCGAAGUCCGUACAAGCAGGAAUAGCUGUGGUAAGCAGAAGACACGUGACCAUAUUUCAAAUAACAAGUCAUAGGAAGCCCCAAGCACACUCCAAGUUGCUGGGUAUUUUUUGUGCCUGGGUUUCAGGAUGUUUUAAGAGAUCUCUAAAUAAUUUUGACAUGCUAUAAAGGACUGAGGACCACUGCUGUAAAAUCAAGGACCAGAAAUUUAGAAAUGGAGGUCUCUCAGGUUGUUGAUGAGCCCCAGAAAAUAAAGUCAAGCUGAGCUUUCAUGCAGCAGCAAACCAUGCUACAUCGCUGCAUUUAAAGAGGCCCAUGCCCAUUCCCAGACCACCCAGGUCUGUGCCAGCUGCCAAGAAGGCUCAUUUCAUCCCUGGGGCUCAAAAUGUGGCUACUACCUCAACACAAGGCUUCAGAGUGUGUGGUGACAAGCUCAGAGAACACAGAGUGACAUGCCAUGCCAGCCUCCAUGGGCUUCUGCUUAGAAUGGACAACAAGCUCAGAGAACACAGAGUGACAUGCCAUGCCAGCCUCCAUGGGCUUCUGCUUAGAAUGGACAUAGAUGAAUUUGUCCGCCUUAACAGACAGAGCAAGUCAGAGGCUAACAUCUAACAUCAAGGGGCCCAAGAGACUUAAUCAUGUGUGUAGAAACUGAGAAGAAGCAGAAACGUGAGUGGGCUAUACUGGUGUGGAAGAGCCAAGGGGAGCCAAACACAGCUGAGAAAAUCCUGGUUUUUCAACAACUUCUGGAAAAAUUUACUGUAAUACAAUUCUUGACAAAGAAGUUAAAUUGGGAGGAAGUAUUCAGAAAAUCUCCAUCUUUCAUGUCUGUAAGUGCUUAUUACAAUGGUGUCUCUGAAUUUGGGGUGGGGAGGAUUGGAAUUGUCUAGGUUUCUUGAAAAAACAAACAAUAAAACAAAACUAUGCUUCCAACGUGA